UACAGAGGGUGCGAGCGUUGUUCGGAAUUACUGGGCGUAAAGCGCGUGUAGGCUGCUCCGCAAGUCGGAUGUGAAAGCCCUGGGCUCAACCUAGGAAGUGCAUUCGAUACUGCGGAGCUGGAGUCCUGGAGAGGAAGGCGGAAUUCUCGGUGUAGAGGUGAAAUUCGUAGAUAUCGAGAGGAACACCGGUGGCGAAGGCGGCCUUCUGGACAGUGACUGACGCUGAGACGCGAAAGCGUGGGGAGCAAACAGG
rnacentral:rRNA from 1 species